AUCAACGCUGGCGCGGCGUGCCUAACACAUGCAAGUCGAACGCGAAAGUGGAGCAAUCCAUGAGUAGAGUGGCGAACGGGUGAGUAACACGUGGGUGACCUGCCUUCGAGUGGGGGAUAACAUCCCGAAAGGGGGUGCUAUAUACCGCAUGACAUCCCUGCCUUUGAACAGGCUGGACAUUAAAGGCCGGGGAUCGCAAGACCUGGCGCUCGGAGAGGGGCUCGCGUCCGAUUAGCUAGUUGGUGAGGGGUAACGGCUCACCAAGGCGACGAUCGGGUAGCCGGCCCUGAGAGGGCGGACGGCCACACUGGGACUGAGACACGGCCCAGACUCCUACGGGAGGCAGCAGUGGGGAAUUGUUCGCAAUGGGCGCAAGCCUGACGACGCAACGCCGCGUGUGAGGAUGAAGAUCUUCGGGUCGUAAACUCCUUUCGAUCGGGGACCGAAUGAUCGGUGACCUAACACCGUCAUCGGAAUGACGGGUACCGAGAGAAGAAGCCCCGGCUCAACUCCGUGCCAGCAGCCGCGGUUAAUACGGGGGGGGAGGCAAGCGUUGUUCGCGAUAUUACCUGGGCGUAAAGGGCGCGCGUAGGCGGCCGACCGCAAGUCGACUGUGAAAUCUCCGGGCUUAACCCGGAAAGGUCAGGCCGGAUACUGCGGGGCUAGAGUGCAGAAGGGGGCAACUGGAAUUCUCGGUGUAGCGGUGAAAUGCGCAGAUAUCGAGAGGAACACCUGCGGCGAAGGCGGGUUGCUGGGCUGACACUGACGCUGAUGUGCGAAAGCUAGGGGAGCCGAACGGGAUUAGAUACCCCGGUAGUCCUAGCCUUAAACGAUGAAUGCUUGGUGUCUGGGGGUUUAUAGUCCCCGGGUGCCGUCGCUAACGCUUUAAGCAUUCCGCCUGGGGAGUACCGGUCGCAAGACUGAAACUCAAAGGAAUUGGCGGGGGCCCGCACAAGCAGCGGAGGCGUGUGGUUUAAUUCGAGAGACUACACGAAGGAACCUUACCUAGAUUUGACAUGCAGGUGGUAGGGAGAUGAAAGUCGACCCGACCUUCGGGAGCCCUGCACAGGUGCUGGCAUGGCUGUCGUCAGCUCGUGCCGUGAUGGGUGUUAGGUUAAGUCCCUGUUAACGAGCGCAACCCCCGACCCUAGUUACACGGGUGUCUAGGGUGACUGCCCCGCGACAAGCGGGAGGAAGGUGGGGAUGAUGUCAAGUCAGCAUGGCCUUUAUAUCUAGGGCUACACACACGCUACAAUGGUCGGUACAAUGGGUCGCGAAGCCGCAAGGUGGAGCUAAUCCUACCAAAGCCGAUCUCAGUUCGGAUUGUGGGCUGCAAACCCGCCCACAUGAAGUUGGAGUUGCUAGUAACCGCGCUGUUAGCCAUAGUGCGGUGAAUACGUUCCCGGGCCUUGUACACACCGCCCGUCACGUCAUGGGAGCUGGUCACGCCCUGAAAGCCAGUCUGCUAACCGCAAGGGAGCAAACUGUCCAAGGCAGGGCCGGUGACUGGGACG
rnacentral:rRNA from 1 species